GACAGAGGGGGCAAGCGUUGCUCGGAAUUACUGGGCGUAAAGGGCGCGUAGGCGGAAGGGCAAGUCGGUCGUGAAAUCCUUCGGCUCAACCGAAGAACGUCGAUCGAAACUGCCGUUCUUGAGGAUUGCAGAGGAGACUGGAAUUCCCGGUGUAGCGGUGAAAUGUGUAGAGAUCGGGAGGAACACCGGUGGCGAAGGCGGGUCUCUGGGCAAUUCCUGACGCUGAGGCGCGAAAGCGUGGGGAGCAAACGGG
rnacentral:rRNA from 1 species